UAAUCAUCUAAUUUCGAUUAAUGAUUAUUUUGCUCUUUUAUGCUUUAAAUCUCUUUUGUUUCUUUAUCAUAGUCAUACUUUAAACCGUUCAAUUAAAUUAAAGA